UCAGCGGCAAUUGAAUGAGGUGCAAAAAUUAUCCAACCAGAAGAUACUGGAGGCUGCUCGUAUCCAGAAGAUGCUAGAGGAGGAGAGGAGCCGACGGGAGGAGGUGGAGCAUCAGAACACAGAGCUCCAGACAACGCUCAGAGCCCUGGAGGGGGAGAGGAGCCGACGGGAGGAGACGGAGCGUCAGAACACAGAGCUCUGGGCUACGCUCAGAGACCUGGAGGGGGAGAGGCGCCGACGGGAGGAGGUGGAGUGUCAGAACACAGAGCUCCAGGCCACGCUCAGAGCCUUGGAGGGGGAGAGGAGCCGACGGGAGGAGGCGGAGCGUCAGAACACAGAGCUCCAGGCCACGCUCAGAGCCCUGGAGAGUAAAAGAGCCAGCCUGGCUCUGUCCCUGGAAGGGAAGGAGCUGAGACUCAGGACCUUCCAGGAGAGAGACGAUGCCCAGCUGAGUGAGAUCAUCAGCCUGCAUGCAACCAUUUGCCAAGCUCAGCAGCUCCAUUCUGACCACAGAGGAGAGAUACAGGAGCUCAACAACCAGGUGCCCUGUACACCAGCAUUCCCUUCCCCAGCAGCACAUCAGGCUUCCCCAGGACCAGCCCCACGCUCCCCACCCACUAUACACUGGUCCCUGUCCCCUCCUCCACUGCUUCCACCCCUGUAACACUGCUUCCUCGUCCCUCACCUGCUCACAGCCUUGGAGCUAUGGUGCCAAAGCCUGGAUCUGGCUCUGCGUCCCUACGUCUUAACCCCGAUUGCAGACCCUGAGCCCCAGAUUGAACAGCAGACUCCUAUGGAGCAUCUCAAUGCCUCUGUCGCAGUUGUUGGCUCCUGGUGACUGUGCCUAGCCCUGCAAAGCACUAACUUCUCUCUGCUACGGGGAGCAGGAAGGGAGCUCAGAGCUGGGAAGGUGGGAGGUGCUUCCAACUCAGCGUGCUCACUUGACGUCCCAGACACACAGCGUGAUGGACUGACCAUCUCGCUGUUCCUGCCUCCAUGUUUUUGUCGGCUAGUUCACCUCCACUAUGGCAUAACUGGCUCCCCCUCAGGAGCCUCUUUCACCCUGUGUUUCUUCUGGUUUCUUUCUGAGGGUGAGGGGCAUGGUGGGGCAGGGAGCAGUAAUCUGUGUUUCCCUCUGGGUGGGAAGCUCUUGACCCCUGAAGGUCCCGGAACUUAUUUCCAAUCUGACCUCUGUGCCUCCUCGUUUUUGUGCCUUUGGCUGUAGGAAAGUGUGUGCUCGAAAGCAGCUUCCUCCGUCAGACUCUCUCCUCCUCCCACUCCUCCCUGUCCUCGCAGUAGUUGUGCUGAUCCCACGAGGGCCUGUGUUUCUUUUCUCUGCAGGUCCACUCACUCAAGCAGGCAGUGCUAGAGAAAGAGGCUGGUUUAGUGGCCCAUGAGAAGCAGCUGUCACAGGAUCUGGAGGAGUCACGGGCGGGUGAGCGGCAUUUGAGGGAUUUGCUGCGGACGCUAGAGGCAGAGGUGUCUCAGCUGCGCCUUAGCCUUUGCAGCACAGAGAGCCGUGCAGAGGCACUGGCUGUGGAGUGCCACCUCGCCAGAAGUGCCCGCUGUGAAGCAGAGUCCCAGCUGGCCAGGCUGCACACCGUUCUGCAGCACACACUGUGUGGCAGCACUCUGGAAAGU
rnacentral:lncRNA from 1 species